UACGUAGGCAGCGAGCGUUGUUCGGAAUUACUGGGCGUAAAGGGCGCGUAGGCGGCCCUCUAAGUCAGACGUGAAAUCCCUCGGCUCAACCGGGGAACUGCGUCUGAGACUGGAAGGCUUGAAUUCGGGAGAGGGAUGUGGAAUUCCAGGUGUAGCGGUGAAAUGCGUAGAUAUCUGGAGGAACACCGGUGGCGAAGGCGGCAUCCUGGACCGAGAUUGACGCUGAUGCGCGAAAGCCAGGGGAGCAAACGGG
rnacentral:rRNA from 1 species